UUAAGCGACUAAGCGUACACGGUGGAUGCCCUGGCAGUCAGAGGCGAUGAAGGACGUGCUAAUCUGCGAAAAGCGUCGGUAAGGUGAUAUGAACCGUUAUAACCGGCGAUGUCCGAAUGGGGAAACCCAGUGCAAUUCGUUGCACUAUCGUUAACUGAAUACAUAGGUUAACGAGGCGAACCGGGGGAACUGAAACAUCUAAGUACCCCGAGGAAAAGAAAUCAACCGAGAUUCCCCCAGUAGCGGCGAGCGAACGGGGAGCAGCCCAGAGUCUGAAUCAGCUUGUGUGUUAGUGGAACGGUCUGGAAAGUCCGACGGUACAGGGUGAUAGUCCCGUACACCAAAAUGCACAGGCUGUGAACUCGAAGAGUAGGGCGGGACACGUGGUAUCCUGUCUGAAUAUGGGGGGACCAUCCUCCAAGGCUAAAUACUCCUGACUGACCGAUAGUGAACCAGUACCGUGAGGGAAAGGCGAAAAGAACCCCGGCGAGGGGAGUGAAAAAGAACCUGAAACCGUGUACGUACAAGCAGUGGGAGCACCUUCGGGUGUGACUGCGUACCUUUUGUAUAAUGGGUCAGCGACUUAUAUUCUGUAGCAAGGUUAACCGUAUAGGGGAGCCGCAGGGAAACCGAGUCUUAACUGGGCGUUAAGUUGCAGGGUAUAGACCCGAAACCCGGUGAUCUAGCCAUGGGCAGGUUGAAGGUUGGGUAACACUAACUGGAGGACCGAACCGACUAAUGUUGAAAAAUUAGCGGAUGACUUGUGGCUGGGGGUGAAAGGCCAAUCAAACCGGGAGAUAGCUGGUUCUCCCCGAAAGCUAUUUAGGUAGCGCCUCGUGAACUCAUCUUCGGGGGUAGAGCACUGUUUCGGCUAGGGGGUCAUCCCGACUUACCAACCCGAUGCAAACUACGAAUACCGAAGAAUGUUAUCACGGGAGACACACGGCGGGUGCUAACGUCCGUCGUGAAGAGGGAAACAACCCAGACCGCCAGCUAAGGUCCCAAAGUCAUGGUUAAGUGGGAAACGAUGUGGGAAGGCACAGACAGCCAGGAUGUUGGCUUAGAAGCAGCCAUCAUUUAAAGAAAGCGUAAUAGCUCACUGGUCGAGUCGGCCUGCGCGGAAGAUGUAACGGGGCUAAACCAUGCACCGAAGCUGCGGCAGCGACACAAUGUGUUGUUGGGUAGGGGAGCGUUCUGUAAGCCUGCGAAGGUGACCUGUGAGGGUUGCUGGAGGUAUCAGAAGUGCGAAUGCUGACAUAAGUAACGAUAAAGCGGGUGAAAAGCCCGCUCGCCGGAAGACCAAGGGUUCCUGUCCAACGUUAAUCGGGGCAGGGUGAGUCGACCCCUAAGGCGAGGCCGAAAGGCGUAGUCGAUGGGAAACAGGUUAAUAUUCCUGUACUUGGUGUUACUGCGAAGGGGGGACGGAGAAGGCUAUGUUAGCCGGGCGACGGUUGUCCCGGUUUAAGCAUGUAGGCUGAUUAUCCAGGCAAAUCCGGAUAAUCAAGGCUGAGGUGUGAUGACGAGGCACUACGGUGCUGAAGUAACAAAUGCCCUGCUUCCAGGAAAAGCCUCUAAGCAUCAGGUAACAUCAAAUCGUACCCCAAACCGACACAGGUGGUCAGGUAGAGAAUACCAAGGCGCUUGAGAGAACUCGGGUGAAGGAACUAGGCAAAAUGGUGCCGUAACUUCGGGAGAAGGCACGCUGGUGCGUAGGUGAAGUCCCUGCGGAUGGAGCUGAGACCAGUCGAAGAUACCAGCUGGCUGCAACUGUUUAUUAAAAACACAGCACUGUGCAAACACGAAAGUGGACGUAUACGGUGUGACGCCUGCCCGGUGCCGGAAGGUUAAUUGAUGGGGUUAUCCGUAAGGAGAAGCUCUUGAUCGAAGCCCCGGUAAACGGCGGCCGUAACUAUAACGGUCCUAAGGUAGCGAAAUUCCUUGUCGGGUAAGUUCCGACCUGCACGAAUGGCGUAAUGAUGGCCAGGCUGUCUCCACCCGAGACUCAGUGAAAUUGAACUCGCUGUGAAGAUGCAGUGUACCCGCGGCAAGACGGAAAGACCCCGUGAACCUUUACUAUAGCUUGACACUGAACAUUGAGCCUUGAUGUGUAGGAUAGGUGGGAGGCUUUGAAGCGUGGACGCCAGUCUGCGUGGAGCCAACCUUGAAAUACCACCCUUUAAUGUUUGAUGUUCUAACGUGGGCCCCUAAUCGGGGUUGCGGACAGUGUCUGGUGGGUAGUUUGACUGGGGCGGUCUCCUCCCAAAGCGUAACGGAGGAGCACGAAGGUUAGCUAAUCCUGGUCGGACAUCAGGAGGUUAGUGCAAUGGCAUAAGCUAGCUUGACUGCGAGCGUGACGGCGCGAGCAGGUGCGAAAGCAGGUCAUAGUGAUCCGGUGGUUCUGAAUGGAAGGGCCAUCGCUCAACGGAUAAAAGGUACUCCGGGGAUAACAGGCUGAUACCGCCCAAGAGUUCAUAUCGACGGCGGUGUUUGGCACCUCGAUGUCGGCUCAUCACAUCCUGGGGCUGAAGUAGGUCCCAAGGGUAUGGCUGUUCGCCAUUUAAAGUGGUACGCGAGCUGGGUUUAGAACGUCGUGAGACAGUUCGGUCCCUAUCUGCCGUGGGCGCUGGAGAAUUGAGGGGGGCUGCUCCUAGUACGAGAGGACCGGAGUGGACGCAUCACUGGUGUUCGGGUUGUCAUGCCAAUGGCACUGCCCGGUAGCUAAAUGCGGAAGAGAUAAGUGCUGAAAGCAUCUAAGCACGAAACUUGCCCCGAGAUGAGUUCUCCCUGAGACUUUAAGUCUCCUGAAGGAACGUUGAAGACGACGACGUUGAUAGGCCGGGUGUGUAAGCGCAGCGAUGCGUUGAGCUAACCGGUACUAAUGAACCGUGAGGCUUAACCUU
rnacentral:rRNA from 2 species